AGCUAGUUGACGAGUCCCAGAUGGGACGAAAUGUGCAUCCUGGAU
rnacentral:hammerhead_ribozyme from 1 species